UUUUUUGUAUUUGUUUUUAAAAUUGCAACUUCCACAGAAUACAUUAUCUUAACAGUGUUUUAUAGUAGGAAGAAGUGUGUGAUUUUGAAAAUGGCGAUGGCAAAGCUAUUGAUAGGAAAGGACUGAUUACUCUCUGCAGCCUGAAUCAAUAGUCCAUGCUCAGUUAUAAUGAGGCCCAAGUGCAACCCACUGUAAGGCCAGGGUGAAAUGUGAUUUCAAUGUCAGAGAAAACAACAGAAAGAGAAAAGGUUUUCCUCCCCGGUUUCGUGUACUGCACAGACUGAGAUCUGAAAGUGGAAGAAAAUGUUGUGUGUGUUGACUUCUUCCUUUGAUCUGUCCCCAUUUAACUUCCAGACUUCCUUUUCCAUACAGGAAAAGAGCAAGUCCCCAGGAACAGAAGAGUGCCUGUGGCAGUGCAAUUGCUCUGCAUUCCUCAUGGAUUGGAGAGAUUCAGGCUUUGAGCUGUGACUGUGAGAAAAUAGGAGCAAACAGCAGUGGUUCCUUGUCUGUAUGCCUCAUUUAAUUCCUUAUCUGUAAGGCCAAGCACGCUGUGCUUUGCCUGUAGAGCCAUGUGGCAUGGUGCAUGGGACAUAAACCUUCAUGAUGGGAACGCUAUCAAGUGCCCAAACUGCACUAAUUCCACCACCAGUUGAUGCAAAUGCCUAUGCAGAUCAUGAGCUCUGGGACAGAAUCUGCUCUGGAGAGCCAGCUUAAAGCAUUGGUGUCAUGGGUUGGCACAAGGUCAGUGUUUAGAGAAGUGAGAGAAUUGAAAAUACCUCCUUAGUUUUAUAUAAAUCUGAUGCCUUGUAGGUUACAAAGGACAAGUAGCCAGUUAGUGGUGAUGCUAGCUCUGAAUUUGACUCCACAUGUUUGAAGCUAAAAUAAGUGUUUUAUAACAAGCCUCUUCCAUUCCUACUAGUGCAUGACCCUAUCUGAGCUGCAUCUUAAACAUAAAUCCUUUUGGAUUCUUUGCCACCUAAGCCAGAAAUCAGCUCAGCCCACAGCCAUCUCUUUAAGAGACUGAAGAGGCUGAAAUCUUGCAGUCUGUCACCAAAAGGCAUCCUAUUCCAGUUCGUAAGCACAAGUGUGCACAUUUUCUCUAUUUCAUCUCCACCUUAUCUGUUGGUCAGUGCUGCCUGUGCCAGACAUGAACAUGGUAUUCCAGCUGCAAUAACACUAAACCCAAAUACAGACGUGAUACAGCUUAUUUUACUGGUGCCACAUUUAAGAAGCUGAUUAUUCCUCUCAGAUACUGUAUCUCUGAAGUCUGGAAACUCUGGUUCAGCUGUGACUCUCUUGCCUUUUUCAGUAUCUCCGACCCUUCGCCUCCAUGCACAUAUCCCCUAUUCUAAAACUAUGGUUUAUUAUUCCUAUAGUAUAAUUUUUAACCUGGGUCAUACUCAAACGUGCAUUGCUUACCCAAAUGCAAUUUUGCAAACUGGUUUGCUCCACACCAGUGGCACGUUCUUUAAUUUUCACCUCUUCUCUCUGUCUUGGUGCCAUCUGCAGAACUCAGUAGUAAUCCUUUUGUUUGUUGAUAGUCCUUGAUAAAAUACCAGUUGGCGCAGAUAAAUACCUGACUGAGCAGGGUUAUAGGAACAUUUUUUUCUGUUAAAAAAUUCUUGAUAAGUAGAUGCCACCUUGAAAACUCACACCAUGCACUAGCCAUCCCAGGGUGGGAAAGGGCUAGAGGGAAAAUAAGCAACUUGAACCAAACCCAGCUGAUCACCAGGAUCUGCCAGCAGGCAAAGGGAAGGGGUGCAAGGACUGAGGGAUGGAUAAAAGGAGACACUGAGCCAAACAUCCCAGGGUGGCACCCAGGGAGCAGUACCUGCUGCCCGCGGUGCCCAGGCGCCCUUCCAGGAGCACUGUAGUGCUGUGUCAGGGAUGAUUAGUUCGACAACCAUUUUAUAUGUGUCACGUUGGGUUUAUAUUGUUCCAGUUUCUUAAUCAACAUGUCCUGCUGCAACAAAUUGAAGGCCUUAAAGAAGUCCAGGAGUUUUACAUCAGCUUCAUUGCAUGUAUCACUUGAUCUUGUAAUCUCCUUGGUGAAAGAUAACAAGUCAGUUUGAAAGGGUCUCUUCCCAUAAACUCCUGUUGAUUGGCAUUAAUUAUAUCUCCCUCCUUUAAUUCUUUGUUAAUCUAGAUCCAUAUGAGUCAUUCCAUUUUACUGCUGGGACUCGUGUCAGGAGACAAGCCUAUAAAUACUUCGUUCUUUUUCUCUACCUUUUCCAAAAUCUUUCCCAACAUCUGCUUUCCUUCAGAGCUUCCCCACUGCCCAGAAAGUUACUGGGGAUCACACACAGCUGUCAUACUGUGCUUGUGCAUUGAAAACAUCCUUGCUAAUCAGCCUGACAAAGCCAGCUGCAUUAGACAUGCUACUGAAAAAAGGGGUUUUGAACAAUGAAUUAACUCUACAAUCAUAAACUACCUUUGCAAAAUCAUUUGCAUGUUUAUUUUGAGUUUCUGUAUCACAAACUACACAACUAUGCCUACAAAGGGCCUUUUUUAAAUGCAUGGAUGAUUUAAAAAAGAGGAUUUAUAGAAGACCAGCCAGAGGGAUGCACAGCACAGAUGGGUUUCAUGUAUGGUUCCCAGCAUGGUGAUUCACAGCACCUUUGUUCUAGUGGUAAACUACCUUUUGCCUUCCAUUCUCCUCAAACAAUGACUAAAACCCAGGAGAUGGACAAACAGUGCCAUACUUAUUACUGUUACUGUAGAUGUGUACUAAUAUCAUCAUUUUUUGUUUGUUUCAGAACAUCAAGGAGAUGACAAAUAGAUAACAUAGUUGGGCUUGUUUAAUAGCAAAAGAUGAGUUGCUGGUUUGAAAAUAUCAGCUAGAAGGUCAGUAGCUUCAAAUUGAAUUGGAAAAAUUCCACCUUAAUGCUGUUGCCCCAGUACUGAUUAGAAUACACAUUGCAUAAGACCAUAACACUUUUGGAGAGGGAGAGGAUGUUUUAUCAUCUAAGCAUAGGGCAGUUUUCAAGAUGAGUGGAAGAACAAGAUUAAUUAGGAGUAUUUUAAUAUUACCAAAAUAAAAAGCAGGAAUUAGGACUGUAUUAAUUUAAUUUCAAACACACAGGUAAUAGCCUUAACUCGUGUGUUCGUCUGCAUCUGUGUUUAUCUGAAUAGGUAUCUGAAAUUGCUGGUAAGCACCAGCUUCCUCCUGGCUGCCUCUGCAUGAGCCUGGCUGGCAUUCCCUGCAGGGAGGACAUGCUCCCAGCUCAGGCUUUGGAGGAACAGGACAUCUUCAUCCCAAUAUAAAACAGCGUUGGACUGGCCACUGCUGGGAGCAGAGCAGGCAGGCAGCCAUAGGAACCCGCUUGCCUGGGUAGUGCUGCACUGGGGGCUCUGCACCCCUGCCCUGCCCUCCCUGAAUACCCAUUUUGCCAUCUACCUUCUCCCUGGCCUCUUUACUCGUCUGGCAACAGAGGGCUAAGUCUUGCUGACAGGAUAUACCCUUGCAAAUACAGAAUCUCAUUGAGCUAAUAAAUAAUUCCCAUCGUUGCCAAAAGUAACAUUCCCUUCCCCAUUUACGGGAGAUGCUGAAUCUGGCGUUGGUACUAUUAACACCUUUAGCAUUUCUCCCAUUAAGAUUUUCUGCCCAUAAGAGGCUUUUCAUAGUUUCUGUUGGUUCUGGUUUUACUUUCUUUCAUGGCUACUGAAGCUUGAGCCACCUGGACUUUGAGGGGUCAGCCCUUUAAAUUUGUUUUAAACCUCUCACAGUAAUUACAGAGUUUUCAAUCUGAUUCUGAAAAGCAAAUAAUAUUGAAGAGAAGCAUAGGGGUAUGACUUUGGGUGCUUUAGGAACCUUUUUAAUUUACCCCUUUUUUCAGUAGCAAGAUGAAAAAAAAAAAAAGAGGAGCAAAAUACCCAUGGAAAAAAGCCACCAAUAAUUUUUGAUAUAAAAGUUCUCUAAGACUUACUGAACAAAGGCAAGGUUCCUCCUUCUGGAAACCAGUGGAAUGGAGAGGACUGGGUAGACUUUUAAAGAUUCAGUAAAUGCUUGCUAAUAUUUCUCAGAGAGCUUUCACUGACGGCACUUUACCGUUUCUACAUUAGCAGGUGAAAUGGUUUCAACCCCAGUAAGCAGGGAGAUGGGAGCAGUGCUCUUUCAUGCUGCCUUGCCCUGGGAGGGGAAAGGAGGGAUGGCGUCAGAGGGGCUGCGACUAAGUGGGCAGCGGGAAGCUUCCCAGGGGAGAGGAGGAAGGUAACACAUAUGUGGGACACAAAGGAAGAUCUGAGAGACUGGAAUAACAUACGGAUCUGAGGGAUGGGGAAAGAGCUAGUGGAUGGAAAAACAUGUAGGCGCUAACCCUGGAGAAUUUUCCUUUUCAGUAAACCUGCUCCUCUCAAAAGGAGGAGGGAACUGAGAGGCCAUAUUAGGUCCCAUGCUGCGUAUGGUCCUGGAUGGUUUGAGUUCUUGUUUCCUAAUACUACCUGGCUUCAGUGAAUAUUCCAGUUGGUUACUGGGGGGAUGAGCCCCUGUGACACCCUUUAAGAGGAGGAAAACCGUUCUGCCUCCUUAUGUGAAGCAGAUCACUUGCUAUGGCACUUGUCCCCAAGGGACAUUGCUGAAGGUCUCAAGCGUCACCUCUCAGAACCACCUGAGAACAAUCCUGGCUCACCUGGGGCUGAAGUCUGACUGCAGUGAGUUGAGUGGGGAUGUUUGGAGGACAUUAAAGGGCUCCUUUAGUGGGUCUGCCCAUUUAAUAAAAACAUGUUGUUUCCAUAGGGCUGUGUUUGCUCCAUGUUUGCCAUCCACUGCCAUGUCCCAUCACCCCCUCUAUGGCAUUGUGCCCUUGGACUUCAGGAUCUCUCCCAGGGCUUUUUUUUAGGAAGACCCAGCACAGACUGGGAGAGGACUUGGGAAAUGCACCCUGUCUUCAGCAGGUAGCAGUGUGGGGCAGGCACAGCCAAUGCACCUCAGCAGCACUGACAAAUGCUGCAUCAGCAUCCAUACAUGCACACCCUUAUGUUUAUGUCCAUCUGCAUGUGUAUACAUAUAAACAGGAAACCACCUUCUGCUCCUUUCAUAACAGACCCUUCUGGAUUCUGUAAGUGUGAUGCGCACUCCCCUUGGGAAUCCAUGGAGGCUGUAAUGUAUAACAGAGAAGGAUUUAUCACGAUCUCUGACAUGAACCUGGGGAAAAGACUAGUACUAUUUUCUAAAGUACUGCAUUGGGUUUGGGUUCAGCUAUAUUGUUUUAAUAUUUUAUGUAUGUGAAUGUGAUGUACUGUAAUGAAAACACUCUUCUAUCUUUUUCUAGUAAGUGCAUCUUUCAAAACAAGGAACGAUGUCAAAUGAUGGAGAGGAGCUCUAGGUCUGGAAGGCACAAGAAAAUGCAUAAAAGAUGAAGUCCUAUUUAUGUUUCUCGCAUGCAUGAAAAAAACCAAUCAAAAAACAACCCACCUACAUUAAAGAAAUGCUAUUCAAGCUACAAAGUAAA